UACGGAGGGUGCAAGCGUUAUCCGGAUUCACUGGGUUUAAAGGGUGCGUAGGCGGGCAGGUAAGUCAGUGGUGAAAUCUCCGGGCUUAACCCGGAACUGCCGUUGAUACUAUCUGUCUUGAAUAUCGUGGAGGUAAGCGGAAUAUGUCAUGUAGCGGUGAAAUGCUUAGAUAUGACAUAGAACACCGAUUGCGAAGGCAGCUUACUACACGAUCAUUGACGCUGAGGCACGAAAGCGUGGGGAGCAAACAGG
rnacentral:rRNA from 1 species